rnacentral:tRNA from 2 species
GGGGGAGUAGUUCAACUGGCAGAACGCCUGGCUCUGAACCAGCGCGGUUGAUCGUUCGAAUCGAUCCUCCCCUU